rnacentral:rRNA from 1 species
AACGAACGCUGGCGGCAUGCCUAACACAUGCAAGUCGAACGAGACCUUCGGGUCUAGUGGCGCACGGGUGCGUAACGCGUGGGAACCUGCCCUUAGGUUCGGAAUAACUCCCCGAAAGGGGUGCUAAUACCGGAUAAUGUCUUCGGACCAAAGAUUUAUCGCCUUUGGAUGGGCCCGCGUUGGAUUAGCUAGUUGGUAGGGUAAAAGCCUACCAAGGCGACGAUCCAUAGCUGGUCUGAGAGGAUGAUCAGCCACACUGGGACUGAGACACGGCCCAGACUCCUACGGGAGGCAGCAGUGGGGAAUAUUGGACAAUGGGCGAAAGCCUGAUCCAGCAAUGCCGCGUGAGUGAUAGGCCUUAGGGUUGUAAAGCUCUUUUACCCGGGAUGAUAAUGACAGUACCGGGAGAAUAAGCUCCGGCUAACUCCGUG